UGAGUACGAGCUGCUACGGCAGCGAAGUGGGUGAUGUCAAGCUUCCAAGAAAAGCCCUAUACCCGUUAAGGCAUGAUGGCCUGUACCCGAAACCGACACAGGUGGGGUGGUAGAGAAUACCGAGGGGCGCGAGAUAACUCUCUCUAAGGAACUCGGCAAAAUGGCCCCGUAACUUCGGGAGAAGGGGUGCCACCGCAAGGUGGUCGCAGUGAAGAGGCCCAGGCGACUGUUUACCAAAAACACAGGUCUCCGCUAAGUCGCAAGACGAUGUAUGGGGGCUGACGCCUGCCCAGUGCCGGAAGGUUAAGGAAGCUGGUCAGCGAAAGCGAAGCUAGCGACUGAAGCCCCGGUGAACGGCGGCCGUAACAAUAACGGUCCUAAGGUAGCGAGAUUCCUUGUCGGGUAAGUUCCGACCCGCACGAAAGGCGUAACGAUCUGGGCGCUGUCUCGGAGAGAGGCUCGGCGAAAUAGAAUUGUCUGUGAAGAUGCGGACUACGUGCACCCGGACAGAAAGACCCUAUGAAGCUUUACUGUAGCUUGGUAUUGUGCUCGGGCUCGGAAUGCGCAGGAUAGGUGGGAGGCUAUGAACCAUUGCUUGUGGGUGAUGGUGAGCCACUGGUGAGAUACCACUCUUUCCGAGCUAGAGUUCUAACAGCCACCCGUUAUCCGGGGGCUGGACAGUAUCAGGUGGGCAGUUUGACUGGGGCGGUCGCCUCCUAAAAGGUAACGGAGGCGCGCAAAGGUUUGCUCAGGCUGGUUGGAAAUCAGCCGACGAGUGUAAAAGCAGAAGCAAGCUUGACUGUGAGACCUACAAGUCGAACAGGGAGGAAACUCGGCUUUAGUGAUCCGACGGUUCUGCGUGGAAGGGCCGUCGCUCAACGGAUAAAAGUUACUCUAGGAUAACAGGCUGAUCUCCCCCAAGAGUUCACAUCGACGGGGAGGUUUGGCACCUCGAUGUCGGCUCAUCGCAACCUGGGGCUGAAGUCGGUCCCAAGGGUUGGGCUGUUCGCCCAUUAAAGCGGUACGCGAGCUGGGUUCAGAACGUCGUGAGACAGUUCGGUCCAUAUCCGGUGCAUGCGCAGGAAUAUUGAGAGGAUUUCUCCCUAGUACGAGAGGACCGGGAGGAACGCACCUCUGGUGUACCAGUUAUCGUGCCAACGGUAAACGCUGGGUAGCCAUGUGCGGAGAGGAUAACCGCUGAAAGCAUCUAAGUGGGAAGCCCACCUCAAGAUGAGUAUUCCCAUGGGGUAACCCAGUAAGGUCACGGGAAGAACACCCGUUGAUAGGCUCUACGUGGAAGCGCAGUAAUGUGUGAAGCGGAGGAGUACUAAUAGACCGAGGGCUUGAC
rnacentral:rRNA from 1 species